UACGGGGGGGGCAAGCGUUGUUCGGAAUUACUGGGCGUAAAGGGCUCGUAGGUGGCCAACUAAGUCACACGUGAAAUCCCUCGGCUUAACCGGGGAACUGCGUCUGAUACUGGAUGGCUUGAGUUUGGGAGAGGGACGCGGAAUUCCAGGUGUAGCGGUGAAAUGCGUAGAUAUCAAGAGGAACACCUGAGGUGAAGACGGGUUGCUGGGCCAACACUGACGCUGAGGCGCGAAAGCCAGGGGAGCAAACGGG
rnacentral:rRNA from 1 species